UCCUGGUCAUCCACGAUACCGUCACUCCCACAUCCUUGCUCGACACGGCACACACGGCAUCGAGCGCCUGCGAUAACCGACGUUAGGUUGUUUUGUUAACCAUCUCUGGUGAGGCUCUCAACUCUGACGUUACGCAUCUACCCUUGACUCCCAGCUCAGACGACGGGUUGUUGAGCUGCGGCCUCCCGGCCUUCCCACGAGCACAUGCAGACGAGCAGCAGAGUGCCAUUGAGGUCUGAAACUGACAUAGUAAAUGUUGUAGAACAAAGAAUAUGACACUCAAUGGAAGAAGGACACUUUGAAAAUCUAUCGGGGAAGGGCAAACCCAUAAACCUAAAUUCAAAUCCUAACGCUGAUCUUGCCAAAGAGACCCUUUGCAGGAUACUUUCAAAGAAUGGUUGCGCCCUUGAAGGGGUUGAGCUGAGUAAGAAAAUUUGUGGCAUGAUUGCGUGUUGGAGGUCAACAUUAAGGAAGGCUUGGGAAAACUGCUCUGAAGACGAUGGUUCUAACUGGAUCAAUGAUUGCAUGGUUCUCCAGGAAUAAAUUCGCCAAAUAAAUGACAAUGUUCUACCUGGCACCAUCUCCCAUAUGUAUCCUGAUUAGUAAAUAUAUCAAAAUGAACUAAUAUGGAGUUCCAUUUUGCUAGAUAUAUUGUAGGUUUUUCGAUACAAUCUGAAAGUGCCAUUUGGACGCCAAAUGUUUGCUCUAAGUUGGGACAAGGAGGUGGCUAAAUUGAAACUGAAGUAAGAACAAUGCACUACGCUUCUAGAACACAGUUUGAGAGGCUUGUCCUGGAUUUUGUAGGAUUGACCUGUAACUUAGCAUAUUGAGUAUUAAGAAAGUAUAAAUAGUAACACUUAGGCCCAUGAAGCAGUGAGAAUGUAUAUGUAUGUCACAUGCGCAACCUAAGUUGAUUUUCUUCAAUGGAGCUGAACACUGACUACUGAAAUUAUGUGCUAUGAUAUGUGAGUUGGGGUGAUACAAAUAGGCAUAGGCCAUUUCAACAACUGCAAUAGAGCUUGCAUUGUAUGCUUUCUCUGUCUAAGGAAGGCUACUAGAAUUGAAGUAGGAGUAGCAGUACUCUCGAAACACUAUCGUCAAUGCGGGUUAUCAUGUGCGCCAAAUGGUGUGCCAUAUUUCUACUGCAGAGUAUGCUAAUAUCUAUCUUCCAUUUGAGAGCCAAACACUUGUACUUGAACAUCAUAGCAAGAUUUGGAGAGUAGAUUGUAGUGUGAGAAACGAACAUAAAUACAAGUGGCUUUUGAAAGGAUGGAAGAUGUUUACAAAUGACAACAAUUUACAGCUCAGGGAUCUAUGCCUUUUUUAAGCUACUGCAGAAAAAAAUACACGUUCCAUGUUCUUAUCAUCUGUACCAGCUCCAUAAAUGGACACCCAUCAACUUCCACUCCCCGAUGAUUCGCUAAUGCUACUAAAGGGUUAGCUCAGAGCAGGCAACACGGGUCAACAGGCGUGGCAAAACUGCUCCGCUUUUCUAGUGAUUGUCCUAGACUUGGAAGUCUAAACUGAAUUCCUGUCACUGUUCUAAUUCAAGCAAGAACUGAAGAAAUAGAAGAGGCAGUACUAUUGUCUAGUCAAUGUUGCCUGCAUAGUAGCAGAGAUUUUGGACUGUGUCACUACCAGAUGACUUAACUAUAUAAGCUUAGCCUGAUCUUUCCUAGUCUGUGUCAACACCAGUGGCCUCAUGCAUGUUUGCUGUUUCUGUAGAAAUCCAUACAGAAGGAUAACUGACUCGAUCAGUCUCCUUGAAAAGGAUCUUUCCAAUUCAUUGUCAUGACAGACAAGUCACAGCUGAAUGUUAGCAGCAUUCCAUUCCAUGCGUGCAAAGUAUAUGUCUGCCUCUCCUGAUUUGAAUGGAGCACAGCUGAACUGUGGCGCUUUGAAGUUUGCACAUCGAUCAGAGCCCUGACUUGUCAUAGCUGAACUAAUCUGUUUCCUGAGAGUGACUUGUGCCGAAAAGUCGUCUCCAGAAUGCAUGCAGCAUGAGCAAAUAUAUCAUUCUAUGCGAGGCUAAGUAUCUGGAUGAUGGUUUUCUUUGUAAGGUUCAGUAUUUUCAAAGUUCCGCAGUUCAAUCACCAUCCAUCUUGAAAGAGGUGAAGCCCCCACGCCUUCAUCCUGACUAAGAUGAUUGAUGUGGCCAUCUCCACUGUUUUGUGAGAAAUCCAGCUGUCAGACAAACCAUAGAACCUUGGAACAAUUGCAGGCGGUCUUAUUUUCUGCAGUCAUGAGUUUUAAUUUUUUUUUUUUUUACUUUUUAGUGCACAUAAAAGGAUGCUAAAUGUUUAUUUGCACCACAUGUAAGUACGUAACACGUAAUAUUGCAUAAGGUCU